GGAGUUUGGAAACUAAUGUUCCUGUGCUAACCUUCGUGUCUCUGUGACAUGACUGUUGAAAGACGGAGAGUGCGGAAUCUUUGGAGUUUUAAGCUUGCCAACUGUGCGGCCUAGCAGAAUCCUGGGAGACGGAAGGACAGCCAAGAGGCUAGGAUUUACCUUUAAGUGUCCCUAGAUUCAACUAGGCAGACUGGGACGGGAGACGCUGUGAAGGUACCAGGGAAGGAACGAGUGAGGUUCCUUUUCCACUUUUUCAUAAACUCAACAGUCAGGUUCAUGACGAAGAUAUAGAUAUUUCUGUAGAUUUUUUCCCCAACAUUCUAAUUAUGCCUCAUGUUUCGUAGAUCCUAGUAACUGCUUGGAUUACUGCCACCUCAGAGGGGCGUCUGGGCAUGGCUUUCCCAACCUAGUAACUGCAACUUUUAGCAUCCUACAUGUAGGACUUGGGAAUAUGUGAGACAGCGCCAAGAAUUUAAUCCAGGAGAAUUGACAAGCUUAAAUGAAAUCCAUAUUGCCCACUGAUUUUGUGCAGCUUCAGAUAAGUAAUCUUUCUCCACUUAGCCUUUUGUAACAAUUGAUGUAAUAAAGGUUUGUAGUCUUUGUGUAAUUUAUUAAAGCAUUGUGCCUAAAAUAGAAAAAAAGCAUAGGAACCAUAGGCUGUGUUUUCUUUUGAUUUAAUAUUUUCAUUUCUUCAGUUAAUAGAAAUUUGCCAAAUUC
rnacentral:lncRNA from 1 species